CUUCUACCUCCCGUCUCUAAAACUCCCAGCACUGUAUCCUCCCCUGGUCUCUUUCUCCUCCAUUCCACUGUCUUCUGCCUGAUGCUCAUCCAAUCCCAUCAAUGCCAAGUCUUCCUGUAUACACCUUCUCCAUGUUUUCCUAGGUCUACUAACUGGUCUCCUUCCUUCUACCUCCUGUCUCUAAAACUCCCAGCACUGUAUCCUCCCCUGGUCUCUUUCUCCUCCAUUCCACUCUGUCUUCUGCCUGAUGCUCAUCCAAUCCCAUCAGUGCCAAGUCUUCCUGUAUACACCUUCUCCACGUUUUCCGAGGUCUACCAACUGGUCUCCUUCCUUCUGCCUCCAAUCUCUCCAAAACUCCCAGCACUGUAUCCUCCCCUGCUCUCUUUACAUGUCCAAACCAUCAGAGUCUUUCCCUUCUGAGCAGUGUUUCCAGGUCCAGUCCCAUCAGUGCCAAGUCUUCCUGCAUAAACCUUCUCCACGUUUUCCUAGGUCUACCAACUGGUCUCCUUCCUUCUACCUCUAAUCUCUCACUUUGGACUAUGUAACAAAAUAUAACCGUGCUUUUGUUUGGAUUUCUUAUUUCAAUUUCAUUAUCUAUAAAGCAUUCAACCAUCCUGUGCCCCCCCACUGCAUGACUCUCUCUCUCAUGAUUGCUGACUUGGCCUAGGGUGAAAUGUGUGUGUGUGUGUGUGUGUGUGUGUGUGUGUGUGUGUGUGUGUGUGUGUGUGUGUGUGUGUGUG